rnacentral:rRNA from 1 species
UACGGAGGAUCCAAGCGUUAUCCGGAAUCAUUGGGUUUAAAGGGUCCGUAGGCGGUUUGGUAAGUCAGUGGUGAAAGCCCAUCGCUCAACGGUGGAACGGCCAUUGAUACUGCCAGACUUGAAUUAUUAGGAAGUAACUAGAAUAUGUAGUGUAGCGGUGAAAUGCUUAGAGAUUACAUGGAAUACCAAUUGCGAAGGCAGGUUACUACUAAUGGAUUGACGCUGAUGGACGAAAAGCGUGGGGGAGCGAACAGG